rnacentral:rRNA from 1 species
CCUACGGGAGACAGCAGUGGGGAAUAUUGGGCAAUGGGCGCAAGCCUGACCCAGCAACGCCGCGUGAAGGAAGAAGGCUCUCGGGUUGUAAACUUCUUUUAUCAGGGACGAAGCAAGUGACGGGACCGGAUGAAUAAGCCACGGCUAACGACGGGCCAGCAGCCGCGGUAAUAAGUAGGGGGCAAGCGUUAACCGGAUUUACUGGGUGUAAAGGGCGGGGAGGGGGGAAAGGAAGUCAGAUGUGAAAACCAUGGGCUCAACCUGUGGCCUGCAUUUGCAACUGUUUUUCUUGAGUACUGGGGAGGCAGCCGGAAUUCCUAGUGUAGCGGUGAAAUGCGUAGAUCUUAGG